rnacentral:misc_RNA from 1 species
GAUGAAGAACGCAGCGAAAUGCGAUAAGUAAUGUGAAUUGCAGAAUUCAGUGAAUCAUCGAAUCUUUGUACGCACAUUGCGCCCGCCAGUAUUCUGGCGGGCAUGCCUGUUCGAGCGUCAUUUCAACCAUCAAGCCCCCGGCUUGUGUUGGGGACCUGCGGCUGCCGCAGGCCCUGAAAACCAGUGGCGGGCUCGCUAGUCACUCCGAGCGUAGUAAUACAUCUCGCUCAGGGCGUGCUGCGGGUUCCGGCCGUUAAAAAGCCUUAUUUACCCAAGGUUGACCUCGGAUCAGGUAGGAAGACCCGCUGAACUUAAGCAUAUCAAUAAGCGGAGGA